CCUACGGGAGGCAGCAGUAAGGAAUAUUGGUCAAUGGACGCAAGUCUGAACCAGCCGUGCCGCGUGAAGGAUUAAGGCCCUCUGGGUUGUAAACUUCUUUUAUAGGGGACGAAAAAAGGGCAUUCUUGCUCACUUGACGGUACCCUAGGAAUAAGCACCGGCUAACUCCGUGCCAGCAGCCGCGGUAAUACGGAGGGUGCAAGCGUUAUCCGGAUUUACUGGGUUUAAAGGGUGCGUAGGUGGGUUGGUAAGUCAGUGGUGAAAUCUUCGAGCUUAACUCGGAAACUGCCAUUGAUACUAUCAAUCUUGAAUCAUCUAGAGGUAAGCGGAAUAUGUCAUGUAGCGGUGAAAUGCUUAGAUAUGACAUAGAACACCAAUUGCGAAGGCAGCUUACUAUGGAUGUAUUGACACUGAGGCACGAAAGCGUGGGGAUCAAACAGGAUUAGAUACCCUGGUAGUCCACGCCCUAAACGAUGGAUACUCGACAUUUGUGAUAUACUAUAAGUGUCUGAGCGAAAGCAUUAAGUAUCCCACCUGGGAAGUACGACCGCAAGGUUGAAACUUAAAUGAAAUUGACGG
rnacentral:rRNA from 1 species